rnacentral:tRNA from 1 species
UCCUGAUGGUUCAGUUGGUAAAGAAUCUGCCUGCAAUGCAGGAGACUUGGGUUCAACCCCCAGGUCGGGAA